rnacentral:rRNA from 1 species
UACGUAGGGUGCGAGCGUUUGUCCGGAUUUACUGGGCGUAAAGAGCGCGCAGGCGGUCGAGUAAGUCGAAUGUGAAAGCCCCCGGCUUAACUGGGGAGGGUCAUUCGAUACUGUUCGACUUGAAGGCAGGAGAGGGCAGCAGAAUUCCCGGUGUAGUGGUGAAAUGCGUAGAUAGUCGGGGGGAAUACCAGUGGCGAAGGCGGCUGCCUGGCCUGUUCUUGACGCUGAGGCGCGAAAGCUGGGGGAGCAAACGGGG